ACUAGAUAUGGUGGCACACACCUGUAAUGCCUACUACCUGGGAGGCUGAGGUUGGUGGAGCUCUUGAAUUCAGGGGUUAUGAGCUACAGUGAGCUACACCAACCUGAUGUCUGAGUUAAGCUCAAUAUUAAUAUGGUGAUUCCCUGUGAGCAGAGCAGUUGCUAGGUUACUUAGGAAGAGAUAAACUGACCCAGGUUACAAAUAGAGCAGGUCAAAGAUUCUAUACUAAGCAGAGUGGGACAGGGCCUAUGAAUUACCCAUGAGCUUCCAGUGUGAUUAAGAUAGGGGAAACCAGUAUUU
rnacentral:SRP_RNA from 1 species